CCCGGUUGAUAGCGCGGCGUAGCGCUGACCACCGCGCCCACCGCUCCCCACACGCACAACACACCCCGAUGAUGAAGUGGGGUGAGUACGCUUGGAUGAGUGAUGAGGUGUGAGAAGGAGGUAGCUACGGCGUGGUCACAACGAGGUUUGGGGGAUUAAUGAAGUGAGAGGCGAGGUGAGAGGAGGGGUGGUCGGAGCGAUUGCAGAGGCGAGGAGAGGCAGGAAUGAGGGUUGUGCAUUGAGGAGGUGAAGACGGUGGGGAUGGCGGAUGAGGAGGUGAGAGCGCGUUGAACUUCUUUCAGUUCAGCAUGCACACGAAGGUGAGCACGGGUGGCGGGAGGCGAUGGAUGAGGAGUUGGUUUGGUGACGAUGACGACGAUGAUGAUGAUGAUGACGAUGAUGACGAUGACGACGAUGAUGACGAUGAUGUGCACUUACAUCGUCAGCCCUGCAGAGUAGCGAGCUGGAUGCGACCAAGACCAGGAGACAGAGGAACCUCAUGAUGAUGAUGAUGCGGACGACGAGGAGGACGAGGAGGAGGA